CCUACGGGGCGCUGCAGUGGGGAAUAUUGGACAAUGGGCGAAAGCCUGAUCCAGCCAUGCCGCGUGUGUGAAGAAGGCCUUCGGGUUGUAAAGCACUUUCAGUGGGGAAGAAAGCCUUGGGGCUAAUACCCUCGAGGAAGGACAUCACCCACAGAAGAAGCACCGGCUAACUCCGUGCCAGCAGCCGCGGUAAUACGGAGGGUGCGAGCGUUAAUCGGAAUUACUGGGCGUAAAGCGCGCGUAGGCGGUCUGAUAAGCCGGUUGGGAAAGCCCCGGGCUCAACCUGGGAACGGCAUCCGGAACUGUCAGGCUAGAGUGCAGGAGAGGAAGGUAGAAUUCCCGGUGUAGCGGUGAAAUGCGUAGAGAUCGGGAGGAAUACCAGUGGCGAAGGCGGCCUUCUGGACUGACACUGACGCUGAGGUGCGAAAGCGUGGGUAGCAAACAGGAUUAGAUACCCGAGUAGUC
rnacentral:rRNA from 1 species